rnacentral:rRNA from 1 species
GAACUGAAGAGUUUGAUCCUGGCUCAGAUUGAACGCUGGCGGCAUGCUUUACACAUGCAAGUCGAACGGCAGCGCGGGGCAACCUGGCGGCGAGUGGCGAACGGGUGAGUAAUAUAUCGGAACGUACCCAAGAGUGGGGGAUAACGUAGCGAAAGUUACGCUAAUACCGCAUACGAUCUAAGGAUGAAAGCAGGGGAUCUUCGGACCUUGUGCUCCUGGAGCGGCCGAUAUCUGAUUAGCUAGUUGGUGAGGUAAAGGCUCACCAAGGCCACGAUCAGUAGCUGGUCUGAGAGGACGACCAGCCACACUGGAACUGAGACACGGUCCAGACUCCUACGGGAGGCAGCAGUGGGGAAUUUUGGACAAUGGGCGAAAGCCUGAUCCAGCAAUGCCGCGUGAGUGAAGAAGGCCUUCGGGUUGUAAAGCUCUUUUGUCAGGGAAGAAACGGUGAGGGCUAAUAUCCUUCGCUAAUGACGGUACCUGAAGAAUAAGCACCGGCUAACUACGUGCCAGCAGCCGCGGUAAUACGUAGGGUGCAAGCGUUAAUCGGAAUUACUGGGCGUAAAGCGUGCGCAGGCGGUUUUGUAAGUCUGACGUGAAAUCCCCGGGCUCAACCUGGGAAUUGCGUUGGAGACUGCAAGGCUAGAAUCUGGCAGAGGGGGGUAGAAUUCCACGUGUAGCAGUGAAAUGCGUAGAGAUGUGGAGGAACACCGAUGGCGAAGGCAGCCCCCUGGGUCAAGAUUGACGCUCAUGCACGAAAGCGUGGGGAGCAAACAGGAUUAGAUACCCUGGUAGUCCACGCCCUAAACGAUGUCUACUAGUUGUCGGGUUUUAAUUAACUUGGUAACGCAGCUAACGCGUGAAGUAGACCGCCUGGGGAGUACGGUCGCAAGAUUAAAACUCAAAGGAAUUGACGGGGACCCGCACAAGCGGUGGAUGAUGUGGAUUAAUUCGAUGCAACGCGAAAAACCUUACCUACCCUUGACAUGUACGGAAGGCCGAAGAGAUUUGG